ensembl:lncRNA
CCCUCCCUUUCAUUUUUUUCUUUUUUACUAACUUUUCGUUGUUGUUGUUUUUUACCUUGUCUAAUUACGAUUGCAAAUAAACUUUGUCAUGCAGAGUUUUACUGCGGGCUAAACAUAAAAACGUUAUUGUGGUUAACACUGUAAUGUAGCAGUCCCUUACAAAAGGAUGCAGGACAGCUGUGCAGAAGUGACAGUGGCUGCUGAACACUUCCCGUGCCUCAGUGGAUGUAACACAGCCGUGUGGCUCCCUCUCUGGAGCUCUUCUUUUCCUUCAUCUCUGCAUUGUAUGUAGCACGGUUGCCACUUCUGUGCUCAUUAAGGAAUGAGGAGGAGGCCUGUUUAGCAUAGGCGGUUUCCUCUUCUCCUAAUUUUUGCUUAAUUAAGAAGUAGGAGAAAGUGAAAUCUGUAAAGGCUCUGUAGGUGGGGGCUCUUUGCCUCCACCAUCCAUGAGAAGAGAGCAGAGACCAGAGCAGAGGUGCUGGGGCCCGGCACUGCCUCUGGCCAAGGAGGACAGAGAGUACGAGGAGGCCCAGUGAGGCGCUGGGAGCCAUACUGGUGUAGGCAGUGCUGGGCCACGUGCAUGUUCAGUAUGCAUGUGCACGAAGCCCAUCAGUGAGCAGGAGCAAGUGACAGCAAAAGCCCUGGUGGUGCUGACGCCAGAUUGUAAGAUGGCCUCUCAGCCAUGUGAGCCUUGGUUGGCGGUGGAGAAAUUCUGGGGGGAAUCUACGCGUGGUUGUUUUUCUGUAUAAAGUUAGGUCUUCACAAACAAGAUGGUAGCUGCAUUUGGAAACCUCCCAUGGGCAAGGGGACUUGAGGCAUGUGAUGUAGGGAAAGGCCUGGGUGAUGACAAGGACCAUGUCCUGCUCACAGAGGGGCUAAGGGACAUCUUCCCAGGGAUGCCUGCCUGCUGGGACUGAGCCAUAGCCCUGCAAGGCCCUGGUGUCUGGGGGUAAAGGACAGGGUUCCCUGCAGAUUGGGGCCUGGGAUGGAGGCUGCACAUUCCAAACCCUCCCUUCCCCACUUGCUCACUCUCUCUCCUUUUUCUUUUUUCUUUAACCCUGCCUGGCUGAGGAAUGUAAUAGAGGAAAAAAAAAAAAAAAAGCGGGGGGGAUUCGGAAGCAAAGGCCCCCUUCAGGAGUCUGUAUUUGUGCAAGGGAAACCAUUUGCAUGUGUGUGGAGAUGCCAGAGUUUGUCUCCAGUUGGGUCGGAGGGGGAGGGCGAGGGAGGAAUGCGGGGAAUCAGGUCGGGCUGCGGGGGGAAGGGCUCCGGCAGAGCCUCCAUCCUGUUGUUGCAUAAACUUGUUAAAAGAACCCCUCCUCUGUGGAGGCAGCACACAUAGAGUAUUAGUGUGGUGGAGGAGGCCAGACCUGCGCCCUGACUACACAACCAAUUGGAGCGGAAAGUGAAAUCAGAUGGUUUAAGUUUUCAGAGGCUUUUUUUUUCUUUCUUUUUUUUUUUUUUUCAGGGGGACUUUUGGAGUUAU